rnacentral:tRNA from 1 species
AAAUGAAAAGUGAAGAAUCACAAUCAGUUUCGACCUGAAAAUUGACACGCAAAUGUCUUCAUUUA